AUAAUAUUGUUUUAAAAUGCUUUUUAUUGUUUCAAGGCAUAGUGAGACAUAAUCAUAGUUCAAGAAGUCUCCAAACAUAUCAAGACUAACUGCUAAAUUUAAUUUUGUUGUUUUGUGUUGGAACUGAGAAAUAAAUUAAAAUACAGGUUUAAAAUUCUGCUACAAACCAUAUUUCAUAUUUCAGAGCCAGAGAAAUAUUACCUGUUUUAAUUACAGACAGGUCUUUUUACAGUGACUUGCCCAUCAGUUUUUUGAGAUUUUCCAAAAGAUAAUUAAUAUUUUUAUACGACUUCACCUACAUUACUGUUUAUGUUUUAGCUCUUAGCAAUUGGACUAGAUCCCAAUCCUGCAACUGAUACUGAAUUGGAAGAAAUAAAUGUAUGAAAUUAACUGCAGAAUACAAGUUCAGGUUAUUACCUUAGGAUGCACAUGAUAAAAAUUUGCUUUUGGCACAGUAAGCCCCAUGUGUACUGCUUUUGCUUUUUGUUUCUUUUUGUUAUUUAUGACAAAUUUUAGUUAUUUUUCCAUCUUUUAAAAUGAAACGAGACAACUUCUCAGGAACUUGAAUCCUGCAUCUGUGGGUUUUAGAAGCAUUUUAAAAGGUUUUUUUUAUUUUUAAGGUCCUUGCUGAAUCAUACUUCAAACUCUCAGCAUCUGGUAGCAUCAAAGUCUAGCUCAUUCCUAGCAAAAUUUCAUCUCCAACAAGAGCUGCUUGUAACUGAUCAGAACAGAAGCCUGUUUCUGCAUUUUCAUCCUUCUCUGAAGGACAGUCUCCCUACAGCAGGGAAAUGGGAGGCAGAUUUUCUGCUGAUGCUAAUUCCUACAGAUAAGUGCCCAUCAUCUGGGAGGAAACAGAAAGGACUGGAAAUCUUUUCAUAA
rnacentral:lncRNA from 1 species